rnacentral:rRNA from 1 species
CAAUCCCGUCUGGGGUGAGUUCGCGUCCGAUUAGCCAGUUGGCGGGGUAACGGCCCACCAAAGCGACGAUCGGUAGCCGACCUGAGAGGGUGAUCGGCCACAUUGGAACUGAGAGACGGUCCAAACUCCUACGGGAGGCAGCAGUGGGGAAUAUUGGGCAAUGGGCGAAAGCCUGACCCAGCAACGCCGCGUGAGUGAAGAAGGCUUUCGGGUUGUAAAGCUCUGUUAUAGGGGACGAAGGAAGUGACGGUACCCUAUAAGGAAGCCCCGGCUAACUACGUGCCAGCAGCCGCGGUAAUACGUAGGGGGCGAGCGUUGUCCGGAAUGACUGGGCGUAAAGGGCGUGUAGGCGGCUCUUUAAGUCUGGAGUGAAAGUCCUGCUUUCAAGGUGGGAACUGCUUUGGAUACUGGAGAGCUUGAGUGCGGAAGAGGUAAGUGGAAUUCCCAGUGUAGCGGUGAAAUGCGUAGAGAUUGGGAGGAACACCAGUGGCGAAGGCGACUUACUGGGCCGUAACUGACGCUGAGGCGCGAAAGCGUGGGGAGCGAACAGGAUUAGAUACCCUGGUAGUCCACGCGGUAAACGAUGAAUGCUAGGUGUUGCGGGUAUCGACCCCUGCAGUGCCGGAGUAAACACAAUAAGCAUUCCGCCUGGGGAGUACGGCCGCAAGGUUGAAACUCAAAGGAAUUGACGGGGGCCCGCACAAGCAGCGGAGCAUGUUGUUUAAUUCGAAGCAACGCGAAGAACCUUACCAGGUCUUGACAUCCAAUUAAGCCCAUAGAGAUAUGGGGUCUCUUCGGAGGAAUUGAGACAGGUGGUGCAUGGUUGUCGUCAGCUCGUGUCGUGAGAUGUUGGGUUAAGUCCCGCAACGAGCGCAACCCUUAUGGUCAGUUACUAACACGUAGAGGUGAGGACUCUGACAAGACUGCCGGGGACAACCCGGAGGAAGGUGGGGACGACGUCAAAUCAUCAUGCCCCUUAUGACCUGGGCUACAAACGUGCUACAAUGGUGACAACAAAGAGGAGCGAGACCGAGAGGUGGAGCGGAUCUCAAAAAAGUCAUCCCAGUUCGGAUUGUGGGCUGCAACCCGCCCACAUGAAGUUGGAGUUGCUAGUAAUCGCGGAUCAGCAUGCCGC